UACGGAGGGUCCAAGCGUUAUCCGGAUUUAUUGGGUUUAAAGGGUGCGUAGGCGGCUUAUUAAGUCAGUGGUGAAAGCCUGUAGCUUAACUACAGAACUGCCAUUGAUACUGAUGAGCUUGAAUAUACUUGAGGUUGGCGGAAUGUGUCAUGUAGCGGUGAAAUGCUUAGAUAUGACACAGAACACCGAUUGCGAAGGCAGCUAGCUAAAGUACAAUUGACGCUGAUGCACGAAAGCGUGGGGAGCAAACAGG
rnacentral:rRNA from 1 species